CCUACGGGCGGCAGCAGUGGGGAAUUUUGGACAAUGGGCGCAAGCCUGAUCCAGCAAUGCCGCGUGCAGGAUGAAGGCCUUCGGGUUGUAAGCUGCUUUUGUACGGAACGAAAAGGCUCUGGCUAAUACCUGGGGCUGAUGACGGUACCGUAAGAAUAAGCACCGGCUAACUACGUGCCAGCAGCCGCGGUAAUACGUAGGGUGCGAGCGUUAAUCGGAAUUACUGGGCGUAAAGCGUGCGCAGGCGGUUUUGUAAGACAGGGGUGAAAUCCCCGGGCUUAACCGGGGAACUGCACUUGGGACUGCAGGGCUGGAGUACGGCAGAGGGGGAUGGAAUUCCGCGUGUAGCAGUAAAAUGCGUAGAUAUGGGGAGGAACACCGAGGGCGAAGGCAGCCCCCGGGGCCUGUACUGACGCUCAGGCACGAAAGCGUGGGGAGCAAACAGGAUUAGAUACCCCUGUAGU
rnacentral:rRNA from 1 species